AUUGAACGCUGGCGGCAUGCCUUACACAUGCAAGUCGAACGGUAACGCGGGGCAACCUGGCGACGAGUGGCGAACGGGUGAGUAAUGCAUCGGAACGUGCCCAGUAGUGGGGGAUAGCCCGGCGAAAGCCGGAUUAAUACCGCAUACGACCUACGGGUGAAAGGGGGGGAUCGCAAGACCUCUCGCUAUUGGAACGGCCGAUGUCAGAUUAGGUAGUUGGUGGGGUAAAGGCCUACCAAGCCGACGAUCUGUAGCUGGUCUGAGAGGACGACCAGCCACACUGGGACUGAGACACGGCCCAGAAUCCUACGGGAGGCAGCAGUGGGGAAUUUUGGACAAUGGGCGCAAGCCUGAUCCAGCCAUGCCGCGUGCGGGAAGAAGGCCUUUGGGUUGUAAACCGCUUUUGUCAGGGAAGCAAUCUUCUGGGUUAAUACCUCGGGAGGAUGACGGUACCUGAAGAAUAAGCACCGGCUAACUACGUGCCAGCCGCCGCCGUAACAC
rnacentral:rRNA from 1 species